GGGUUGUGAGGUUAAGCGACUAAGCGUACACGGUGGAUGCCCUGGCAGUCAGAGGCGAUGAAGGGCGUGCUAAUCUGCGAUAAGCGCCGGUAAGGUGAUAUGAACCGUUAUAACCGGCGAUACCCGAAUGGGGAAACCCAGUGUGAUUCGUCACACUAUCAUUAACUGAAUCCAUAGGUUAAUGAGGCGAACCGGGGGAACUGAAACAUCUAAGUACCCCGAGGAAAAGAAAUCAACCGAGAUUCCCCCAGUAGCGGCGAGCGAACGGGGAGGAGCCCAGAGCCUGAAUCAGCAUGUGUGUUAGUGGAAGCGUCUGGAAAGGCGCGCGAUACAGGGUGACAGCCCCGUACACAAAAGCGCAUGUGCUGUGAGCUCGAUGAGUAGGGCGGGACACGUGGUAUCCUGUCUGAAUAUGGGGGGACCAUCCUCCAAGGCUAAAUACUCCUGACUGACCGAUAGUGAACCAGUACCGUGAGGGAAAGGCGAAAAGAACCCCGGCGAGGGGAGUGAAAAAGAACCUGAAACCGUGUACGUACAAGCAGUGGGAGCACCCUUCGGGGUGUGACUGCGUACCUUUUGUAUAAUGGGUCAGCGACUUAUAUUCUGUAGCAAGGUUAACCGUAUAGGGGAGCCGGAGGGAAACCGAGUCUUAAUUGGGCGUUAAGUUGCAGGGUAUAGACCCGAAACCCGGUGAUCUAGCCAUGGGCAGGUUGAAGGUUGGGUAACACUAACUGGAGGACCGAACCGACUAAUGUUGAAAAAUUAGCGGAUGACCUGUGGCUGGGGGUGAAAGGCCAAUCAAACCGGGAGAUAGCUGGUUCUCCCCGAAAGCUAUUUAGGUAGCGCCUCGUGAAUUCAUCUCCGGGGGUAGAGCACUGUUUCGGCUAGGGGGCCAUCCCGGCUUACCAACCCGAUGCAAACUGCGAAUACCGGAGAAUGUUAUCACGGGAGACACACGGCGGGUGCUAACGUCCGUCGUGAAGAGGGAAACAACCCAGACCGCCAGCUAAGGUCCCAAAGUCAUGGUUAAGUGGGAAACGAUGUGGGAAGGCCCAGACAGCCAGGAUGUUGGCUUAGAAGCAGCCAUCAUUUAAAGAAAGCGUAAUAGCUCACUGGUCGAGUCGGCCUGCGCGGAAGAUGUAACGGGGCUAAACCAUGCACCGAAGCUGCGGCAGCGAACGUAUCACCCAAGACAACUUUACGGAGUUGACGAUUGACGGAGCGAAGCGACGUCAAAGCGUUCAUUAAAGUCGAGUUGGCUUAGGGAUACGUUCGUUGGGUAGGGGAGCGUUCUGUAAGCCUGUGAAGGUGUGUCGUGAGGCAUGCUGGAGGUAUCAGAAGUGCGAAUGCUGACAUAAGUAACGAUAAAGCGGGUGAAAAGCCCGCUCGCCGGAAGACCAAGGGUUCCUGUCCAACGUUAAUCGGGGCAGGGUGAGUCGACCCCUAAGGCGAGGCCGAAAGGCGUAGUCGAUGGGAAACGGGUUAAUAUUCCCGUACUUGGUGUUACUGCGAAGGGGGGACGGAGAAGGCUAUGUUGGCCGGGCGACGGUUGUCCCGGUUUAAGCGUGUAGGUGUGUGUUCCAGGUAAAUCCGGUUCACUUUAACACUGAGGCGUGACGACGAGGCACUACGGUGCUGAAGCAACAAAUGCCCUGCUUCCAGGAAAA
rnacentral:rRNA from 2 species